AAGAGAUCUUAACCCUUCGGACAGAAAGAGAGGCAUACCUAACAAAGGCAGACUAUUACAGAAUGAAAAUAAAAUAUUUGCAAUUUAAAAUAAAGGAAAAGGCAUCUUCCUGGGCCUCAAGAGAUGGUGACAUCCUGGGCCUCAAGAGAUGGUGACACCCUGGGCCUCAAGAGAUGGUGACACCCUGGGCACAGGAACAUUUCCUGUCUCUUUGGACCUAACUAUAAAACUUUUCUUCACUGUUACAUGGCAAUACAACACAGGAUGGGACAUAGGAUGGCUGUUACUGGAGAUGUCCGGCUGAUUGACGAGGAUAAUUUUCCUGAAAGUGACAUAUUGUAAGACUUGGGUAGCUCUAAUGCUGUACAAAAUGUCA